rnacentral:rRNA from 1 species
CCUACGGGAGGCAGCAGUGAGGAAUAUUGGUCAAUGGACGAGAGUCUGAACCAGCCAAGUAGCGUGAAGGAUGACUGCCCUAUGGGUUGUAAACUUCUUUUAUAAAGGAAUAAAACGAGGCACGUGUGCCUUUUUGCAUGUACUUUAUGAAUAAGGAUCGGCUAACUCCGUGCCAGCAGCCGCGGUAAUAAGGAGGAUCCGAGCGUUAUCCGGAUUUCUUGGGUUUAAAGGGAGCGUAGAUGGGUUGUUAAGUCAGUUGUGAAAGUUUGCGGCUCAACCGUAAAAUUGCAAGUGAUACUGGCAGUCUUGAGUACAGUUGAGGUAGGCGGAAUUCGUGGUGUAGCGGUGAAAUGCUUAGAUAUCACGAAGAACCCCGAUUGCGAAGGCAGCUUACUAAACUGUGACUGACAUUGAUGCUCGAAAGUGUGGGUAUCAAACAGGAUUAGAUACCCGUGUAGUC